rnacentral:rRNA from 1 species
CCUUAACCUGCUAAAUAGCCCGGCCGACUUUGGUUGGUCGCUGGCUUCUUAGAGGGACUAUCGACGUCUAGUCGAUGGAAGUUUGAGGCAAUAACAGGUCUGUGAUGCCCUUAGAUGUUCUGGGCCGCACGCGCGCUACACUGACCGAACCAGCGAGUUAAUCACCUUGGCCGGAAGGCCUGGGUAAUCUUGUGAAAUUCGGUCGUGAUGGGGAUAGAGCAUUGCAAUUAUUGCUCUUCAACGAGGAAUACCUAGUAAGCGUGAGUCAUCAGCUCGCGUUGAAUUCGUCCCUGCCCUUUGUACACACCGCCCGUCGCUACUACCGAUUGAAUGGCUUAGUGAGGCCUUCGGAUUGGCUUCUGGGAGCCGGCAACGGCACCUAGUCGCUGAGAAGUUUGACGAACUUGGUCAUUUAGAGGAAGUAAAAGUCG